rnacentral:rRNA from 1 species
UGCUGCAUGGCUGUCGUCAGCUCGUGUCGUGAGAUGUUCGGUUAAGUCCGCUAACGAGCGCAACCCUCGCUGUGUGUUAUAUGUGUCACAUGGGACUGCCGGUUUUAAGCCGGAGGAAGGCGGGGAUGACGUCAAGUCAGCAUGGCCUUUAUAUCUUGGGCUACACACACGCUACAAUGGUCUGUACAAUAGGUUGCCAAGCCGCGAGGCGGAGCCAAUCCUAAAAGCAGGCCUCAGUUCAGAUUGCAGUCUGCAACCCGACUGCAUGAAGAUGGAGUUGCUAGUAACCGCAGGUCAGCUAUACUGCGGUGAAUACGUUCCCGGGUCUU